UACAGAGGGGGCAAGCGUUAUUCGGAAUUAUUGGGCGUAAAGGGCGCGUAGGCGGCAUGGCAAGUGGAUGGUGAAAUCCCUCGGCUUAACCGAGGAACUGCCGUCCAAACUGCUUCGCUUGAGACCGGGAGAGGUGAGUGGAAUUCCCAGUGUAGCGGUGAAAUGCGUAGAUAUUGGGGAGGAACACCAGUGGCGAAGGCGGCUCACUGGACCGGUACUGACGCUGAUGCGCGAAAGCGUGGGGAGCAAACGGGG
rnacentral:rRNA from 1 species